UUAAGAAGUUUUUGAACUGGCUCAGGACGAACGCUGGCGGCGUGCCUAAUACAUGCAAGUCGAGCGGACAGAUGGGAGCUUGCUCCCUGAUGUUAGCGGCGGACGGGUGAGUAACACGUGGGUAACCUGCCUGUAAGACUGGGAUAACUCCGGGAAACCGGGGCUAAUACCGGAUGCUUGUUUGAACCGCAUGGUUCAGACAUAAAAGGUGGCUUCGGCUACCACUUACAGAUGGACCCGCGGCGCAUUAGCUAGUUGGUGAGGUAACGGCUCACCAAGGCGACGAUGCGUAGCCGACCUGAGAGGGUGAUCGGCCACACUGGGACUGAGACACGGCCCAGACUCCUACGGGAGGCAGCAGUAGGGAAUCUUCCGCAAUGGACGAAAGUCUGACGGAGCAACGCCGCGUGAGUGAUGAAGGUUUUCGGAUCGUAAAGCUCUGUUGUUAGGGAAGAACAAGUGCCGUUCAAAUAGGGCGGCACCUUGACGGUACCUAACCAGAAAGCCACGGCUAACUACGUGCCAGCACCCGGGGGUAAUGGG
rnacentral:rRNA from 1 species